rnacentral:rRNA from 1 species
CGCUGUUAUCCCUAAGGUAAUUUAGUCUUAUAAUCAUUAAAAAUGGAUCAAAAACUUAUAAAUAAAUAUAAAAAAAAAUAAAAAGAGUUAUAUUAAUCUUCCCAUCACCCCAACAAAAUUUAAAUAAUAUUAAAAUUAUUACCCCACAAAAAAUAAAAAAUUAAAUUAAACUCUAUAGGGUCUUCUCGUCCCAAAAAAUUAUUUAGGCAUUUUAACCUAAAAUUUAAAUUCAACAAAAUAAAAAUUUAAGAAAGUAUAUACCUCGUCAAACCAUUCAUUCCAGCAUUCAAUUAAAAAACUAAUGAUUAUGCUACCUUUGCACAGUCAAAAUACGGCGGCCAUUUAAAAAUCAGUGGGCAGGCAAUACUUCAAAUAAAUUACAAGANGAAUGUUUUUGUUAAACAGGCG